UUGCGUCUAGCCCCAAGAUGGAAUCCUAAACAUUUCCUAUAAUAAGUGCUGGCAACACUUUCCUGUGUUUAUUUUUCAAAUAGGUUUUUCCUUUUUCUCAAAUAGUGGAAGCUUUUAGUGUUGGGGCUUUAUUUUUGGCUCACAGGGUCUGGUUGUGCCUCUGCAAGUAUGACUAUGCCUAUUUCCAUAUGGGAAAUCACUGCAGAGCAAAUGGAUUCACUAGCACUGUGUGUGUAGAGUUUCUCUUUUGCAAACAGGUGGCUUGUUGGGAGCUAGAGUAGCAGCAGCGGCAUAGCAGCACAUACACUACCAGGCUGAUGGACUAGGAUGGCGCCAACUAGAGUGAAAGCAUAUGCUUUUCCUGGGCUGGAAGUGUGAUGAACCACCGUGAAGUCCUGU